AACGAACGCUGGCGGCGUGGAUAAGACAUGCAAGUCGAACGGGAGUUUGUUUAUAGCAAUAUGAGUGAACUCUAGUGGCGAAAGGGUGCGUAACACGUAGCUACCUACCUCGAAGUUGGGGAUAGCUCGGCGAAAGCCGGAUUAAUACCGAAUGUGACCGUAAGGUCAAAGCUGGGGAUCGUAAGGCCUGGCGCUUUGAGAUGGGGCUGCGGCCUAUCAGCUAGUUGGCGGGGUAACGGCCCACCAAGGCUUAGACGGGUAGCUGGUCUGAGAGGACGACCAGCCACACUGGAACUGAGACACGGUCCAGACACCUACGGGUGGCAGCAGUCGAGGAUUUUUCUCAAUGGGGGAAACCCUGAAGGAGCGACGCCGCGUGAGGGAUGAAGGUCUUCGGAUU
rnacentral:rRNA from 1 species